ACUGACCCUAGAAGCAUUGAAGGUGUGGCUGCUAUGUCACAUGUGCGUCAGUAGGUGGCAGAAAAGAGACAGUAUGUCUAUGCUCAGCUUUCUGACUUGGUUAUGAGAAACAGCUUUUUAAAUUAUUAUUAUU